CGGGGGUGGCUAGCGUUAAUCGGAAUUACUGGGCGUAAAGAGCACGUAGGUGGAUUAUUAAGUUAGAUGUGAAAUCCCUGAGCUCAACUUAGGAACUGCAUUUAAAACUAAUAUUCUAGAGUAUCGUAGAGGGAGGUAGAAUUCCAGGUGUAGCGGUGAAAUGCGUAGAUAUCUGGAGGAAUACCUGUGGCGAAAGCGACCUCCUAGACGAAUACUGACGCUGAGGUGCGAAAGCAUGGGUAGCAAACAGGAUU
rnacentral:rRNA from 1 species